rnacentral:pre_miRNA from 1 species
AAAAAGACAAACCCUGGGUUUCCGUGUCCAACUUUGACUGUCCGUUUUAUAUGAAAUUUUUUUAUAAUUCGUAUUUUCAUUGUUGUUAGAUGGUAAAACAUGAUUAAUAUUUUAUGCGUGACUUGUCUUUUUAAUUUUUUUCAUAAUUUUUUUAAAUAAGACGAACGGUCAAACGUUGGACACGGAAACCAGGGUUUGUCUUUUU